rnacentral:lncRNA from 1 species
UAACGGCAGUGUCUAAUGCAAAUAUUCCCCACACUCAUAAAUAUAAAUUAGAUCCCAAAAUAACCCAACUACCUUAACAUUAAAUUCAUUUUUACCCAAGAAAAUUUUGUUCAGAACAAAUUGUGUGUAAGUCCACAUACAAGGAUAAGCAAAGCACCAUCCUGCCCUUUGAUUAGCUUGCAAUCUCUUAAAAGCAUGUCUUUAGGGAUUAUUUUACAAAUUAAAAAAAAAACCUUCCUCAUAGCAAAGCUCUAGUGAGGAUCAUUUAAGUGUAGCCCAUAAACUCUAAGGAUCCUUCAUCUGAGUCCUACUCUCGCUGAUGAGUCAGGUCUCUUGGAGCAAGGCUGUAUCGGCUUCCUUCUGGGUUCAAAGGGGAUAUCUUGCUCUAAUGCUGUCAAUUUGACCUUCCGUUUUCAUAUGUUCUCUCCAGAAUCAACCAUUAGUCAGCACAAUCAACUGAGAAGAUACAGCAAGAAAAGAACGAUGAACAUCCCCUGCCCCCAAACUGGAAGAUAAUAGAUUGAAAACUGGAAAGAAUCAGGAAUGGAAAUUCCCAAGUGAGCUGAAUGGAGAGGCAGCAAGUGAGAAAAAGUAAGCAAUCUUUACUUGAGCCCUUGGUGCAAGAGGGGAUCCUUUGAUACAAGGGUUAUAUUAUCACAACACCUUAGUAACAGGUUUUUAUGAUGUUCUUUAUAGGAGGGACAUGAGCACUUGAAGAAAAGAGCACACAGAAAAGAAACAGGGAUACUUUCAAUCUCCCCAUACCACAGAGUAAGUGACCUGAGAAAAAGUUCACCCGAUGAAAGGAUUCACUGGUAAUUAUUAAGUGGAAUAGAGAAAUCUUUUAGACCAGCCAGAGGUUAAAAAAAAAACUACCCAACUCAAGGAAAACAUGAUGCUAUGGUAAGAGAAUUUUAGAAUUGCCACCACUUUGCCUGAGGCAACAAGGCACAUAAUUUCCUCAAACCUUAUUCUUUUUAUCUGAGACCCUCAAAAGUUUAAAUUUGUUUGAUAACAGAAGAAUUUCUGUCCCAGCUUGAUUACCUCAGUUUACUUUAUCUUAGACAUCCAGUUUUAGACCUGCUGCUAUCUGAUUAGUUUCUACUCUAUCUGUCUGUCUGCAAAUUCCAAUUAAAACCCCCUAGUAUUUGCUAAUCCAAAUAUUAUUUUACCUGAUGUAGAUCUUUCCCUUCUGCUAUUGGUUCUUUGAUAUGUAAAUCUUUACCUUCCCUUGUUUCCUCUGUAAAACUCUAAUAGUAUCCUUCCUGCCGAUACAACUAAAGACUGUAUAAGAAUUUUUAAAU